UAGCUCUGAGCUUAAGGAAUGUUUGCCAAGUCUAAAAAAAAUGAUUCUAAGCUUCUACUUAGAUAUAAUAGUUGUAUUUUUCAGGUAGAAGCUGAGAAUCACUUUUUUUCAGAGUU
rnacentral:pre_miRNA from 1 species